rfam:Rattus norvegicus chromosome 3, whole genome shotgun sequence.
GUGGGAUAGCUCACUGGUUAAGAGCACUGGUUCCUCUUCCAGAGGUCCUGAGUUCAAUUCCCAGCACCCACA